rnacentral:lncRNA from 1 species
GAAAACUAACGGCCUUAUUUAUGUAAAAAAAUGAACGAAAAACAAAUAUGUAACACAUAAACAAACGACAACCACUAAAUAUACAGGCUCCUGACUUGGGACAGGCACAUACAUAAAUAAUGUGGCGGGGUUAAACAUGUUAGCGGGAUCCCAACCCUCCCCCUAACCUGGGACAGUGGUAUAACAGUACAACAUAAGAACGAACUAUAAACAUCAGUUGAAAAAGGCUUAACUCAUCAGAUGGAC